CUGAGUUACCGCUCUAUAACCCUUUGUGAACAUACCUAACCGUUGCUUCGGCGGGCAGGGGAAGCCUCUCGCGGGCCUCCCCUCCCGGCGCCGGCCCCACCACGGGGACGGGGCGCCCGCCGGAGGAAACCAAACUCUAUUUACACGACGUCUCUUCUGAGUGGCACAAGCAAAUAAUUA
rnacentral:misc_RNA from 1 species